GACGAACGCUGGCGGCGUGCUUAACACAUGCAAGUCGAACGAUGAACCCGGAGCUUGCUCCGGCGGAUUAGUGGCGAACGGGUGAGUAACACGUGAGUAACCUGCCCUUGACUCUGGGAUAACUGCUAGAAAUGGUAGCUAAUACCGGAUACGACCCUCGGUGGCAUCACCAGGGGGUGGAAAGAAUUUCGGUCAAGGAUGGACUCGCGGCCUAUCAGCUAGUUGGUGAGGUAACGGCUCACCAAGGCGACGACGGGUAGCCGGCCUGAGAGGGUGACGGGCCACACGGGGACGGGGACACGGCCCAGACUCAUACGGGAGGCAGCAGUGGGGAAUAUUGCACAAUGGGCGCAAGCCUGAUGCAGCAACGCCGCGGGAGGGAUGACGGCCUUCGGGUUGUAAACCUCUUUGGUAGGGAAGAAGCGAAAGUGACGGUACCUGAAGAAAAAGCACCGGCUAACUACGUGCCAGCAGCCGCGGUAA
rnacentral:rRNA from 1 species